UAGGGAAUCUUCCGCAAUGGACGCAAGUCUGACGGAGCAACGCCGCGUGAGUGAAGAAGGAUUUCGGUUCGUAAAACUCUGUUGUUAGAGAAGAACAGCGCAUAGAGUAACUGUUAUGCGUGUGACGGUAUCUAACCAGAAAGCCACGGCUAACUACGUGCCAGCAGCCGCGGUAAUACGUAGGUGGCAAGCGUUGUCCGGAUUUAUUGGGCGUAAAGCGAGCGCAGGCGGUCAAUUAAGUCUGAUGUGAAAGCCCCCGGCUCAACCGGGGAGGGUCAUUGGAAACUGGUUGACUUGAGUGCAGAAGAGGAGAGUGGAAUUCCAUGUGUAGCGGUGAAAUGCGUAGAUAUAUGGAGGAACACCAGUGGCGAAGGCGACUCUCUGGUCUGUAACUGACGCUGAGGAACGAAAGCGUGGGUAGCAAACAGG
rnacentral:rRNA from 1 species